rnacentral:rRNA from 1 species
UACGUAGGGUGCGAGCGUUGUCCGGAAUUACUGGGCGUAAAGAGCUCGUAGGUGGUCUGUCGCGUCAUUUGUGAAAGCCCGGGGCUUAACUCCGGGUUGGCAGGUGAUACGGGCAUGACUGGAGUACUGUAGGGGAGACUGGAAUUCCUGGUGUAGCGGUGAAAUGCGCAGAUAUCAGGAGGAACACCGGUGGCGAAGGCGGGUCUCUGGGCAGUAACUGACGCUGAGGAGCGAAAGCAUGGGUAGCGAACAGGAUUAGAUACCCUGGUAGUCCAUGCCGUAAACGGUGGGCGCUAGGUGUGGGUUUCCUUCCACGGGAUCCGUGCCGUAGCUAACGCAUUAAGCGCCCCGCCUGGGGAGUACGGCCGCAAGGCUA